rnacentral:lncRNA from 1 species
GUUAAAAUAUAGGUCUGAGGGUCAUUUAUGCCUGCCCGUUCGAUAUACACAUUCCUUUCCAGAAGCCUUACAGAAGUUCUAUCGUGGUGAGUUCAGGUGGUUGUGGAGGCAGAGAAUCAGGUUAUACCUUGAAGGGACUGGCAUAAACCCUGUACCUGUGGACCUUCACGAGCAGCAGCUAAGCUUGAAUCAGCACAAUAGAGCCCUUAACAUUGAAAGAGCUCAUGAUGAAAGGUCUGAGGCUUCAGGACCCCAACUUCUGCCAGUGAGAGCACUAAAUGAAGUCUUCAUUGGGGAGAGUCUGUCAUCCAGGGCUUCCUACUAUGAGAUUUCAGUUGAUGAUGGUCCAUGGGAAAAACAGAAGAGUUCAGGGCUCAAUUUGUGUACUGGAACAGGAUCAAAGGCCUGGUCAUUCAAUAUUAACAGGGUUGCAACUCAGGCUGUAGAAGAUGUUUUAAAUAUUGCAAAACGACAAGGAAAUUUGAGUCUUCCAUUGAACAGAGAAUUGGUAGAGAAAGUAACAAAUGAAUAUAAUGAAUCACUGCUCUACAGUCCGGAAGAACCAAAAAUACUUUUCAGUAUUCGAGAACCAAUAGCAAAUAGAGUUUUCUCAAGCAGUCGUCAGCGUUGUUUCUCCUCAAAGGUUUGUGUUCGUUCUCGUUGUUGGGAUGCCUGUAUGGUUGUGGAUGGAGGAACUUCUUUUGAGUUUAAUGAUGGUGCAAUUGCUUCGAUGAUGAUCAAUAAAGAAGAUGAGCUUCGAACUGUGCUUCUUGAACAGUGAAGGAUUUCCUCAUGACAAAUUUUGAUUACUGGCGAGAAUAUUUUUACUUCAGAAACAGACUACCAGUCGUAAAGUGACAUUUUUUGGUUAUUGUUGAGACUGCUUGCCCGUGGGCUCAGAAGUGAGAUUUGCAUUAUUCUUCUGUUGGAUUCUGAUAGAAAAAAAGACAUUCACUGUAUAAGAAAAUGGAUGGACUGAACCAAUUAGAAUUGAUACCAGUGAAAUUUUUAUAUUGCUUACAAUUGGUAACCAAGAGUGCUGAUACCUUUUUAAAUUUAGAGGGGCAGGCUUAAAUAAAGGACUAAAUAUUUAGGAUUUGAAA